rnacentral:rRNA from 1 species
CAGUCGCCGCGGUAAUACGGAGGGUGCAAGCGUUAUCCGGAUUUAUUGGGUUUAAAGGGUCCGUAGGCGGAUCUGUAAGUCAGUGGUGAAAUCUCACAGCUUAACUGUGAAACUGCCAUUGAUACUGCAGGUCUUGAGUAAAUUUGAAGUGGCUGGAAUAAGUAGUGUAGCGGUGAAAUGCAUAGAUAUUACUUAGAACACCAAUUGCGAAGGCAGGUCACUAAGAUUUAACUGACGCUGAUGGACGAAAGCGUGGGGAGCGAACAGGAUUAGAUACCCCUGUAGUCCCUGUCUCUUAUCC